rnacentral:rRNA from 1 species
UUGACGGGGGCCCGCACAAGCGGUGGAGCAUGUGGUUUAAUUCGAUGCAACGCGAAGAACCUUACCUGGUCUUGACAUCCACGGAAGUUUUCAGAGAUGAGAAUGUGCCUUCGGGAACCGUGAGACAGGUGCUGCAUGGCUGUCGUCAGCUCGUGUUGUGAAAUGUUGGGUUAAGUCCCGCAACGAGCGCAACCCUUAUCCUUUGUUGCCAGCGGUCCGGCCGGGAACUCAAAGGAGACUGCCAGUGAUAAACUGGAGGAAGGUGGGGAUGACGUCAAGUCAUCAUGGCCCUUACGACCAGGGCUACACACGUGCUACAAUGGCGCAUACAAAGAGAAGCGACCUCGCGAGAGCAAGCGGACCUCAUAAAGUGCGUCGUAGUCCGGAUUGGAGUCUGCAACUCGACUCCAUGAAGUCGGAAUCGCUAGUAAUCGUGGAUCAGAAUGCCACGGUGAAUACGUUCCCGGGCCUUGUACACACCGCCCGUCACACCAUGGGAGUGGGUUGCAAAA